CAGUCGAGCGACAGAUAAGGAGCUUGCUCCUUUGACGUUAGCGGCGGACGGGUGAGUAACACGUGGGUAACCUACCUAUAAGACUGGAAUAACUCCGGGAAACCGGGGCUAAUGCCGGAUAACAUUUAGAACCGCAUGGUUCUAAAGUGAAAGAUGGUUUUGCUAUCACUUAUAGAUGGACCCGCGCCGUAUUAGCUAGUUGGUAAGGUAAUGGCUUACCAAGGCAACGAUACGUAGCCGACCUGAGAGGGUGAUCGGCCACACUGGAACUGAGACACGGUCCAGACUCCUACGGGAGGCAGCAGUAGGGAAUCUUCCGCAAUGGGCGAAAGCCUGACGGAGCAACGCCGCGUGAGUGAUGAAGGGUUUCGGCUCGUAAAACUCUGUUAUUAGGGAAGAACAAACGUGUAAGUAACUGUGCACGUCUUGACGGUACCUAAUCAGAAAGCCACGGCUAACUACGUGCCAGCAGCCGCGGUAAUACGUAGGUGGCAAGCGUUAUCCGGAAUUAUUGGGCGUAAAGCGCGCGUAGGCGGUUYCUUAAGUCUGAUGUGAAAGCCCACGGCUCAACCGUGGAGGGUCAUUGGAAACUGGGAGACUUGAGUGCAGAAGAGGAAAGUGGAAUUCCAUGUGUAGCGGUGAAAUGCGCAGAGAUAUGGAGGAACACCAGUGGCGAARGCGACUUUCUGGUCUGUAACUGACGCUGAUGUGCGAAAGCGUGGGGAUCAAACAGGAUUAGAUACCCUGGUAGUCCACGCCGUAAACGAUGAGUGCUAAGUGUUAGGGGGUUUCCGCCCCUUAGUGCUGCAGCUAACGCAUAAGCACUCCGCCUGGGGAGUACGAMCGCAAGGUUGAAACUCAAAGGAAUKGACGGGGACCCGCACAAGCGGUGGAGCAUGURGUYURAKUCGAAGCAACGCGAAGAACCUUACCWARUCUKGACAUCCWUUGACCASUCUAGCAGAUAGAGCUUUCCCCUUCGGGGGACAAAGUGACAGGUGGUGCAUGGUUGUCGUCAGCUCGUGUCGUGAGAUGUUGGGUUAAGUCCCGCAACGAGCGCAACCCUUAAACUUAGUUGCCAGCAUUUAGUUGGGCACUCUAGGUUGACUGCCGGUGACAAACCGGAAGAAGGUGGGGAUGACGUCAAAUCAUCAUGCCCCUUAUGAUUUGGGCUACACACGUGCUACAAUGGACAA
rnacentral:rRNA from 1 species